rnacentral:rRNA from 1 species
GAAAGGAAAUAUUCGGUAAAAGAUGGGCCCGCAUCUGAUUAGCUAGUUGGUGAGAUAACAGCCCACCAAGGCGACGAUCAGUAGCCGACCUGAGAGGGUGACCGGCCACAUUGGGACUGAGACACGGCCCAAACUCCUACGGGAGGCAGCAGUGGGGAAUAUUGCACAAUGGGGGGAACCCUGAUGCAGCAACGCCGCGUGAAGGAAGACGGUUUUCGGAUUGUAAACUUCUAUCAAUAGGGAAGAAAGAAAUGACGGUACCUAAAUAAGAAGCCCCGGCUAACUACGUGCCAGCAGCCGCGGUAAUACGUAGGGGGCAAGCGUUAUCCGGAAUUACUGGGUGUAAAGGGAGAGUAGGCGGCAAGGUAAGCGAUAUGUGAAAGCCUUAAGCUUAACUUGAGGAUUGCAUAACGAACUAUCUAGCUAGAGUACAGGAGAGGAAAGCGGAAUUCCUAGUGUAGCGGUGAAAUGCGUAGAUAUUAGGAAGAACACCAGUGGCGAAGGCGGCUUUCUGGACUGAAACUGACGCUGAGGCUCGAAAGCGUGGGGAGCAAACAGGAUUAGAUACCCUGGUAGUCCACGCUGUAAACGAUGAGUGCUAGGUGU